AUGAUUGCUGCAAAUCUACCAGACGGCACUGAUGCAGGAUUGGAUUGGGCUAUGCAUAAUGACAGACUGCACGCGCAGUUGGCCCGUGCCCAGAACCGGUGCAAGCAAAAAGCAAACAAGACCAGAACAGAGCGCUCCUUUGACAUGGGUGAUCAAGUAUUGCUCAAACUCCAGCCUUACGCGCAGUCAACAGUGGCCAACCACCCAUGCCCCAAACCAACAUUCAAGUUCUUUGGGCCCUUCAAGAUUGAUACGCCUCCAUCGUAUCUACUUUUCCAAACACUUUUGCCCUUGUUUUGGACUCUAACUUGCAUGAUUUGA
rnacentral:rRNA from 1 species